GAUGAACGCUGGCGGCGUGCCUAAUACAUGCAAGUCGAGCGAACAGACGAGGAGCUUGCUCCUCUGAUGUUAGCGGCGGACGGGUGAGUAACACGUGGAUAACCUACCUAUAAGACUGGGAUAACUUCGGGAAACCGGAGCUAAUACCGGAUAACAUGUUGAACCGCAUGGUUCAACAGUGAAAGACGGUCUUGCUGUCACUUAUAGAUGGAUCCGCGCCGCACUAGCUAGUUGGUAAGGUAACGGCUUACCAAGGCAACGAUGCGUAGCCGACCUGAGAGGGUGAUCGGCCACACUGGAACUGAGACACGGUCCAGACUCCUACGGGAGGCAGCAGUAGGGAAUCUUCCGCAAUGGGCGAAAGCCUGACGGAGCAACGCCGCGUGAGUGAAGAAGGUCUUCGGAUCGUAAAACUCUGUUAUUAGGGAAGAACAAAUGUGUAAGUAACUAUGCACGUCUUGACGGUACCUAAUCAGAAAGCCACGGCUAACUACGUG
rnacentral:rRNA from 1 species